rnacentral:lncRNA from 1 species
UUGCCUGAUUUUAUGGCUUAUCCAACUGUAUUCAUAUGUUCUUUCUUGGGUUUCUCUGUUUGAAUUAUAAUUUUGAGCUUAUGAUUUCUAUGGUCGAUGUAAUCAAAGUAAACUUUUCAUGUUUGUGUUAUUUUAAUUAGUUGUCAAUUUCAUUAAAAAGUUCUUUACAAAAUCUAGUUAGCUUACUCAAUCAACAUUAUUGGAUUAUAUGAUUAUAAGAGGGAUUACUGGCUUACUGCUUCUGAUAAUUUGGUAUGUGCCUUAAUUGGUUAGAUAGGGAAGAUGAUAUGGUGUUUAUCAAGCAAUUGUUUCAUAUUUAUUUUAAAAUUUAAUUUAUAUUCUAUGAUAAAACUUGACAUUUUGAUCUGUUGUUGUGUUUAGACUGACCAAAUCGGACUUCCGUGAGCCGGUAAAUAUUGGAAGUGAUGAAAUGGUCAGCAUGAAUGAGAUGGCUGAGAUUGUCCUUAGUUUUGAUAACAAGAACACUCCUAUACAUCACAUUCCAGGCCCAGAGGGUGUUCGUGGUCGUAACUCUGACAACACACUAAUCAAAGAGAAACUUGGCUGGGCUCCAACAAUGAAGUUGAAGGUACUAAUAAUUUAGUUUGGUGAAAAUCACCUUCCUAUUCCUACUUUAUGUACUAUAAUCAAAGUUCAGAUUAAUGUCUGAUGAACAGUCAUCUCAUACGCCAAUUAUACCUAGUUCAGUUUGUUUUUCUUCAAAAUGACACCUUCCUACUUUCUUGUGUCUAAACAACUUUUUAUCCGAUUUGGCUCCUUCGUCUUCUUCAAGAGAGAAUAAUGGAAUGUUUAUGUUUUAUACUCAUCAAUAAAAUUCCUAGUUGACCUUGUUCCCUCCAACAUUUUUUUAUCUUAAUAAACAUCCACAUGAUUAUGUGUAUACUUACAGCAGUAUCUAAAAUUUGAUAUUGUAGGAUGGGCUGAGGAUUACAUACUUCUGGAUUAAGGAACAGCUUGAGAAGGAGAAGGCUCAAGGUAUUGAUACAUCGGUAUAUGGAUCAUCAAAAGUGGUGCAAACCCAAGCUCCAGU